UAUCAGCUGCGUUGUGCGUAAUCUUAAUAAAGUUUUAACCUUUAAGCUGAAAUAGGGAGUUUUAUAUUGAGACAGGAAUAUCAUGCCCCAUUUUGAAUGAGGACGAUAGGAGUGUUUCUGCAAACACCCACUUUAUGGAGUGGUGGUUUUAAAACUCUAUUAACUGUACGGCAACCGCGGCCUUUCC
rnacentral:other from 2 species